rnacentral:rRNA from 1 species
UACGUAGGGGGCUAGCGUUGUCCGGAAUCAUUGGGCGUAAAGCGCGUGUAGGCGGUCCGAUAAGUCCGCUGUGAAAGUCGAGGGCUCAACCCUCGAAUGCCGGUGGAUACUGUCGGGCUUGAGUACGGGAGAGGCGAGUGGAAUUCCUGGUGUAGCGGUGAAAUGCGCAGAUAUCAGGAGGAACACCGAUUGCGAAGGCAGCUCGCUGGAACGUUACUGACGCUGAGACGCGAAAGCGUGGGGAGCGAACAGG